rnacentral:tRNA from 1 species
GGAGAGAUGGCAGAGUCCGGUCGAUUGCGCACGACUCGAAAUCGUGUUUACUGGAAACAGUAACGAGGGUUCGAAUCCCUCUCUCUCCG